rnacentral:lncRNA from 10 species
ACAAUGAGAUUAGAAUCGUAGGCAAGUGGCCAAUCAGGAAAAAGCUGACAGAGAUAAUACAUGGAAAUUUGCAUAUUACCCUUACGUGAUUUUAGACAAGGGAGUGCCAAGAUUUUUUACCUUAUAAAAGAGAUAACUGUUGCUGCAAAGUAGAGAUAUUGGAUAUUGGAUUGAGGGGGAACAAAACUAAAAAUGGGAAGUAGCAGGUGUUGAAAUAAUCUUGACAAGAAAUGACAAGAGCAUGAACUAAGGUCCCUCGAAGCCUAAUGAGCCUGUGGAGGAGCUGAGAUACUGGGUCGAGAUAAAUGGAAAUAUUUUCAGACUACGAGUUCCAGUCAGAGUA